AUUGAACGCUGGCGGAAUGCUUUACACAUGCAAGUCGAACGGCAGCACGGACUUCGGUCUGGUGGCGAGUGGCGAACGGGUGAGUAAUGUAUCGGAACGUGCCCAGUCGUGGGGGAUAACGUAGUGAAAAUUACGCUAAUACCGCAUGCGAUAUAUGGAUGAAAGCGGGGGAUCGAAAGACCGCGCGCGAUUGGAGCGGCCGAUAUCAGAAUAGGUAGUUGGUGGGGUAAAGGCCCACCAAGCCAACGAUCUGUAGCUGGUCUGAGAGGACGACCAGCCACACUGGAACUGAGACACGGUCCAGACUCCUACGGGAGGCAGCAGUGGGGAAUUUUGGACAAUGGGCGAAAGCCUGAUCCAGCCAUUCCGCGUGCAGGAUGAAGGCCCUCGGGUUGUAAACUGCUUUUGUACAGAACGAAAAGGUUUCUACUAAUACUAGGAGCUCAUGACGGUACUGUAAGAAUAAGCACCGGCUAACUACGUGCCAGCCGCCGCCGUAA
rnacentral:rRNA from 1 species